GGUUGGUGGAUUGGUCUCUUAACUGGUUAUUUCCUGUUGGAUUCUUUCUGUCUUGCUGUUUUUUUCAAUAUUGACUGGAAGAAAGCUGAAAGUGAGGCACAAGUCAGGGCUGGGGUACAGCCAGCAGAGAAGAGAGAUCGGGGGCAGCCCAUGGAGAUGCAGGGUGGCUCUCAUGAAAUUACUCCGGACAACCAUGAAGAGGGGCAC